rnacentral:rRNA from 1 species
UGUGAUCGCAGAUACCAGAUACAUCGACAAGUCGAACGCACAUUGCGGCGGCGGCACUCUCAUGUGCUGCCGUCACUCCUACACGAGGGUCGG